GAUGAAGAACGUAGCGAAAUGCGAUAAGUAAUGUGAAUUGCAGAAUUCAGUGAAUCAUCGAAUCUUUGAACGCACAUUGCGCCCGCCAGUAUUCUGGCGGGCAUGCCUGUUCGAGCGUCAUUACAACCCUCAAGCCCCCCGGCUUGGUGUUGGGGACCGGCCACCGGUGCCCUGCUGCUUCCGCGGCAGGCGCACCCGGCCGCCCCCGAAAUGAAUUGGCGGCCCCGUCGCGGCCUCCCUCUGCGCAGUAGCACACAUCUCGCAGCUGGAGCGCGGCGCGGCCACUGCCGUAAAACGCACCAACUUUUUUUACAGUUGACCUCGAAUCAGGUAGGAAUACCCGCUGAACUUAAGCAUAUCAAUAAGCGGAGGA
rnacentral:misc_RNA from 1 species